rnacentral:rRNA from 1 species
UACGUAGGGGGCGAGCGUUGUCCGGAUUUAUUGGGCGUAAAGAGCUCGUAGGCGGCUUGGCAAGUCGGGUGUGAAACCUCCAGGCUCAACCUGGAGACGCCACUCGAUACUGCUAUGGCUAGAGUCCGGUAGGGGACCACGGAAUUCCUGGUGUAGCGGUGAAAUGCGUAGAUAUUGGGAGGAACACCGGUGGCGAAGGCGGCAUCCUGGACCGGUAUUGACGCUGAGGCGCGAAAGCUAGGGGAGCAAACGGG